UAGGGAAUCUUCGGCAAUGGACGAAAGUCUGACCGAGCAACGCCGCGUGAGUGAAGAAGGUUUUCGGAUCGUAAAACUCUGUUGUUAGAGAAGAACAAGGGUGAGAGUAACUGUUCACCCCUUGACGGUAUCUAACCAGAAAGCCACGGCUAACUACGUCCAG
rnacentral:rRNA from 1 species